CGGCACUCGCGGCCCUGUGAAAAGGCGGGGCCCGCCGUGCUGGGCGUCAGAAUGCUCUUGAGAACUGGUGGGCGAGGAAUCUUGACCCUGUGUGACUUGCCUCCCCCUAUACCAAGCUCACCUACCUUUUGAAACGUAAUUGAUUCCAUUCCUGCUGGACAGCCUGGGAUCUGGCUCGCCCAAGGUCCUGCACUAAGCAGGGAACCCUGAUCAAUAUGACCAGUCAUUCCUCUGAGGUCACCAGUCCAGAGAGCAGCCCAGAUCUAUCACUCUGAUGUUAAGAGAGAAUCCAGAGGAUACCAUGAAGAGUACGGAGAACGUGUAUCUCCUACCUACAUUACCAGGACUUUGUGGAAGUUAUAUUCUACCCUUUGUCGACUGAAAAAAAAAAAAAAAAAGGUACAAUCUAAAAGUUGAGAAUUACAUUUUAUUUGGUGGACUUGCUGAGGACUUAAGCCCUGAAGGCAGCCUCUGAGGGACUGCUCCAAUGAGGAAAAGGAGGAGCUAGGAUAUAUAGAAGUUUUUGCUAUAAAAAACAGGUAGUCGGAACAUCAAAAGAUUACUGUCAAAGAAAAAGAGAUAUCAAGCUAAUGAAUUUGGCACUUUUCUAUGUUUGGGAAGAUGCAAGAGUCUGGGCUCAAUGAAAUCAUGCCUUUGAUACGCACCUUAACUAUCUAGGGCCAGCAUCCUGCCCUUCUUCAUCCUGAAUCCCCUCAGGGUGCACAGCCUGGGCGGGUGCAGUGGCUGAGGGCUUGAUGGCUGCAAUGUCCUUUGUUUACUGAUAUGGUGGUGACAUUCUUUUGUCCACACCUUCUAAUUCCCUUUUGAAGAGUUGCAGGAAGAGGACAAACUUUAAAAUUUCACCUGGGUUAUCAAAGCAGAAACUGGUUUAGUUAAAGAGACAAUUGAAAGUAAGAGAAGGUGAGUAUGCUAGAUUUUUUUUUUUAAUCCAAACUUCUCACUUAACUACCCAGUGGAGUGGGGACUAUUUGAGAGGAUCAGUAAUUUGGAAACUGCUGCAAUCAUGAUCGUGGCCUCCUUGAGAAUGAAUCUGAAGUUGAUCUGUGAGUUUGUGAAUAGCUGUUGGCAUGUAUUGAUUUUGUUUUGGUUGGUUUAGUUUGGUUUUCUUCUGAGAUUAGUCACUGAAGUCUGUGGAAAUAGCUCAAUGCAGAAUAAUGAGCUGGGGUCAAGGGGUCAAGGUUUUUUACUUUGAACCAAACCC